UGUGCCACUGCACUCCAGCCUGGGUGACAACAUGAGACUCUGUCUCAAAAAAAAGCAGAGUAAUAUUAGUAAGACAGAGUUUUGUCUUUUUUUUUUUUUUUGACAGGGUUUUGUUCUGUCACUCUUGCCAGAGUGCAGUGAAACAAUCGGGGCUCACUGCAGCCUUGAACUCCUGAGCUCAAGGGACCCUCCUUCUUCAGCCUCCUAAGCAGCUGGGACUACAGGCACAUGCCAGAGUGCCCAGCUCCUCCAACUCCCAGACUGUGUGGUUCUGCACAACAGUGAAGAAAAUGUCAAGGAACCGAAACAAGCUGAGGCAGAAACAGGGUCUUGCUCUGUUGCCCAGGCUGGCCUCGAACGGGCUCAAGGGAUCCUCUCGCCUCAGCCUCUUGAGUAGCUGGGACUACAGAUAUUUCAUGUCAGGCCUCUGAGCCCAAGCUAAGCCAUCAUAUCCCCUGUGACCUGCACGCAUACAUCCAGAUGGCCUGAAGCAAUUGAAGAUCCACGAAAGAAGUGAAAAUAGCCUUAACUGAUGACAUUCCACCAUUGUGAUUUGUUUCUGCCCCACCCUAACUGAUCAAUGUACUUUGUAAUCUCCCCCACCCUUAAGAAGGUUCUUUGUAAUCUCCCCCACACUUAAGAAGGUUCUUUGUAAUUCACCCCACCAUUGAGAAUGUACUUUGUGAGAUCCACCCCCUGCCCACAAAACAUUGCUCCUAACUCCACCGCCUAUCCCAAAACCUAUAAGAACUAAUGAUAAUCCCACCACCCUUUGCUGACUCCUUUUUCGGACUCAGCCUACCUGCACCCGGGUGAAAUAAACAGCCUUGUUGCUCACACAAAGCCUGUUGGUGGACUC